AUUGAACGCUGGCGGCAUGCCUUACACAUGCAAGUCGAACGGCAGCGCGGGGGCAAUCCUGGCGGCGAGUGGCGAACGGGUGAGUAAUGCAUCGGAACGUGCCCGGUAGUGGGGGAUAACUGCUCGAAAGAGCAGCUAAUACCGCAUACGACCUGAGGGUGAAAGGGGGGGAUCGCAAGACCUCUCGCUAUCGGAGCGGCCGAUGUCGGAUUAGCUAGUUGGUGGGGUAAAGGACCACCAAGGCAAGGAUCCGUAGCGGGUCUGAGAGGACGGUCGGCCAUGCUGGGACAGGGACACGGCCCAGACUCCUGGGGGAGGGAGCAGUGGGGAAUGUUGGACAAGGGACGCGAGUCUGAUCCGGCCAUGCCGCUUGCGGGAAGAAGGCCUUCGGGGUGUAAACCGCUUUUGUCAGGGAAGAAAUCUUCUGGGCUAAUACCCUGGGAGGAUGACGGUACCUGAAGAAUAAGCACCGGCUAACUACGUGCCAGCCGCCGCAGUAACAC
rnacentral:rRNA from 1 species